rnacentral:misc_RNA from 1 species
GAUGAAGAACGCAGCGAAAUGCGAUAAGUAAUGUGAAUUGCAGAAUUCAGUGAAUCAUCGAAUCUUUGAACGCACCUUGCGCCCUUUGGCCAUUCCGAAGGGCAUGCCUGUUUGAGUAUCAUGAACACCUCAACUCCUCAUGGUCUUCUAUGAUGAGCUUGGACUUUGGGGGCUUGCUGGCCCUUUUGGUCAGCUCCUCUCAAAUGAAUCAGCCUACCAGUGUUUGGUGGCACCACAGGUGUGAUAACAAUCUACGCUUGAGGUUUUCCACCAGGCAACCUUCAGUAAUUGGGGUUCACUGGGGCUCACAAAUGUCUUUCUUCAGUGAGGACAGCUCUUUGAAUGUUUGAUCUCAAAUCAGGUAGGACUACCCGCUGAACUUAAGCAUAUCAAUAAGCGGAGGA